GGUGGGCUGCUGCCUCGGGGCUGGACACGGAGGAGCCUGAGCCCCGCAGGGUGGGUGACAGCCACCAAGGUCUCAAGAGUCCCUGCAGGCUGGGGGCCAGCAGCUGCCCAUUGCCCGCACCAUGUCGGACGGCGAGGGCCCCUCCGCCGAUACUUCAAGACAUAGAAAUUCUUUUGAUUGAUGCAAACCACUAAGAACACUUUUGAGUGAAAAGCUUAAGAGGGAACAAAGUCGUGGGUUUCUUGGAUAAUAAACAGAUGUCAUGUCUGUUUGGACAAUGGAAGUGGAAGGGACAGAAGAGCUCACGACUCUGCAGAAUCGGUGGUGAAGUUGGAGCCGUCCUUAGCAAGGGUGUCUUACCACACAGUGCUGUUUCCUGGACAACCAGGUGGCCAAGGAGCUGGGCGCUCGAAGUAAAGAAUUCCCUACCUUUAUAAGAUGAGCAAGAUGGAGCGGAAAGACAUUUCCAGCAGCAGAAUCUCCUGAGCAGAGACCCAGCGGUGUUUGAGAAAUGAAAAGCAGUGUGGAGUGAGGAGGUCAACGCUCAUGGGAGCUGGAGGGGCUUCGGACAGGAGCCAGGAAGGACUCUGCAGGACUCUGCAUAUUCAGAACUUGGUUGGCUGGGUCUCUUUUUCUCCCACGAGGACAGUGCUGUUACAAGUGGAAGGGACAAAGGAGACAGCCCUGGGGAAGAUCUGUCAAGAGCUCAAGAAAGGGGAGAGAUGGCAAGAGAUGAUUUAGUUGCUGUGAAGACAUUCUCUAGGCCUCAACAAAUGAUCUUUAAUUUUGUCAUAUGGAAGUCUUAGAAAAUUGGGAAGGGAGAAAAGGUCAUCAUUUCCCAAAUAGCACAAAAAGCUGGAUUCUGGAAGAUACAGAGGAUAUGUCUGAUAUUAAUAUAGGUUCUGAGCAAAAAUUGUAACAGAUCUUUGAAGAGCUAGGGCGUAAACACUUGGCAUAAAAGAUGGUAACUAAAAGCCAAACCAACCUCCCUCCCUCUUUUCGUGGUGUUUGCAGAUUGGAUUUACAAAGCAGCAGUGAAAACCGUUCUCAAAAUCCUGCGGAUGUUACAGAGGGAAAUGGGCGGAGUAUCCAACAGUUGGGGGAAUUGCAUUUUCAGUAGGACAAAUAUAUCCAGAGGAUUGAUAAACAGGUCAACUGAGGUGCAGCUGGGGAGGCCCCCCAAGGCUGUCCGCUGGGCUCUGCUCCCCUGGACUGCUGAAGUGUUUGUCAACUACAAGGACGAGGAUAGAGCAGACAGGAAAGGGUUCGCUAUGGCAGUCACUGCUGUCGAAAAGCUGAUGUAUUAGAUGCCAGAUUUAAGAAUUUAAGAGGUUUUGGUUUGCUAAUACGGUGGUUGGAAACCAACAAAAUGACAUUUAACAAGGAUAAACACAAAUCCUGUCAUUAGAUAAAAAGAGAAAAUCAAUCAGCUCUAGUAUAGGAAGGAAAAGAACCAACAGCAGCUCAAGGGAAAAAGAUAGAUAGGUUCAUAACUCACUAGAAGUUCAUCACCAGCCAGUAGUCCAUGUCCUGAACGCUCAAAAAAAAAAAAAAAUCAGUGCAAACUUCAUUUGCACCCACAGAAUCAUAAUAUCCAGAGCACUUGGAGGUUAUUGUGUGCAGAUCCACGUACCAGGAUUCCAGAGAAAAGACCUAGUGGGGUAGAGACAGGCAUUUGCGCAGAUGAGGGGUCCGGAAACUGUCAUGUGAUAGUGCAGAAUAAGGAACAUUACCAUGGGCUGGUGAGAGAAAGUCUUUCAUGUGUAACGGGCCCAGCAGAUUCAUCUCGAGCAUUCAUUCAUUCAUUCAUUCAUUCAUUCGGCAGCAGCUCUUCACUGCCCACCACAUUCACACCGAAUUGUGGCCAUGAUGGGUGCUGGAGGAUGCACUCUCCUAGGAGAGAUGGACAUGGUUUGUCCACAGCAAGCCAGUGGACCCCAUGGAUAUGGAAGAAAGAACAGGGGCAUCCAGGCCUUACUGACAGGGCAGCCUCAGCGCAGGUGGGCAGGGAGGCUGGCACUCAGGACAGGGAGGCAGCACUACCCAAAGUCCCAAGCACUCAAGGGUGUGGCAUGUCUGAAAACCAGCAGUGGGACUGUGGCAGGGGUACGUGGGAUGCCGAAGGUGGCAUUUGUAUCAGGAACACGUACAAUGUCAGGCCAAGAUGUUUGCACUUCCUAGUAGGCAACAGCAUGAAAUGACAUCAAUUAACCCUGUUUAGGCAAGUUAUUCCCAGAGUAAUGAAGCGGAGCGAGGGAGACUGGGGUGCAAACCACUACUGAAACCUUUCAGAAUAGAGAGAAGCCUGAACCGGGACAGAGGGAGGCCAAACUGACCAGACGAAAGUAGAUCGAUGAAAAAGAAAAAAAAAAAAGUGGAUCGAUGAAGGAUGCUUUAUAGCAAGGGAAAUCUGGGAUGAAAAUAAACAGCAAUCUAAUCAUGGGCACUCUCAGUCUUUGAGAGAGGCCAAGCAAUCAUUUGUCAGGGGUGUUGGAGAAAUGGCAGUUGCGUUGCCAGGCAGGUAGAAGGGAUUUCAGUGUUUCUCAUCAAUGCUAAGAAUCUGCGAUGACUUCUCAGUGAUUUUAUCAAGAGCGGCGUAACCCAUUGUUGACUGGGCGAUUCUAGGCUGACAUAUUCGUUAGCCAGGAUUGCCAUAACAGAAUUCCACAAACCAACUGGCUUCAGUGGACAGUUAUUGUCUCCACUUCUGGAGACUGGAAGUCUGAGAUCGAGGUGUCUGCAGGGCUGGUUCCUCAGAGCAGGGAGGGAAGGGUCGGGUCCCGGCCUCUGUCCUUGGCCAGGGGAUGCUGUUUUCGUCCUGUGUCGCCUGCAUCUUCCCUCUGUGAAAUAACGUCCAGAUUUUCUCUUCUUGUAGGGACAGCAGCCACACUGAGCUCAUUUGGACCUGAUUACCUUUAUGAAGACCCCAUCUCCAAACACAGUCACAUCCUGAGGUCCUGGGGCUUAGACCUUCAACACAGGAAGUGGGUGGGCACAAUCCAGCCCAUGAACACCGACUAGGUCCAGGUCUCUGUGCUUUUAGGCUAAAAUCAGACCCCCGCAAGAUCUCCCAGGUCCCCUGUGAAGAGGCCAAAGAAAUGACCUCUCCUCCUCUGAUGAGAUUGUGUCUCCAAAGUGGCCUCCUGUUCAUGGCUGCCUUGUGCUGCUGGGUCUCUUCGUCCCCCUAGUUUCUUCCUCAGUCCAAUUUAGAUCCUCCAGGAUGAUCUGAAAUCCUUCCUAUUUUGUUGCGUAGCACUUGUAAUUUGUAAUUGUGUAUCCAUUGGGAUAAUUAUCCUAUGUCUGAAUGUGCUUUACUUUGCAACUCAGCAUGUAUAGGUACAUUUCAAGGAAAGACCAAUGCUCCAAGUAAAGAUAUUUGCUCUUGCUAUGGUCAACGCACUCUGUUUUUUUUCAAGUUCAUUCCAUUUUUUAAUAGAGUGAAUAUACAAUUUACCAAUUCUUUUUUUUUUUUUUUUUUUUGAGACAUGGUCUCACAAUGUAGCCCAGGGUGGCCUCGAGCUUGUGGUGAUCCUCCUGUCUCAGCCUCCUGAGUGCUGGGAUCACAGUCGUGCGCCACCACGCCUGGCCGAUUUUACUCAUUCUUAAACUCACAGUUCUGAGGCAUUUGUAACUUCUUGUGCAAUUGCCACCAACUCUCCUUCCCCAGAACUUUCUCAUUGGCCCAAACUGAAACUCUGUGCCUGUCAGUAGAAAAAACUUCCUAUGCUUGUUUUCCUCCAGCAAUCACCACUCUACUUUCUUUCUUUAUGAAUUUUGCUACUCUAGGGACUUCAUGUAAGUGCAACCCUUUAGCAUUUGUCUUUUGGGGACUGGCUUAUUUCACUCAGCAUAAUGUCCUCAAGGUUCAUCGAUGGGGUAGCAUGUGUCAGAAUUCCAUUUCUUUUAAAAAAGGGAUAACAGUCUCAUCUAUGGACAUCCCACAUCUUGUUUAUCCAGUGAUUUGUCAAGGCAUACUUGGGUUAUUGCCACCUUUUGGCUAUUGUGAUAAUGUUGCUACCAACACGGGUGAAUGAAUAUUUAUUCAAGUUCCUGCUUUCAAGUCUUUAAGUACAUACUCAGAAGUAGAUUUUUUUCUAUCUUAUUUUCAGCAUGCUGAAUAUGACCCUGUAACUUGACCUCAGAGCCACUUGCAGUUAGGAAAGUGCUGUGUUCUCUAUACCACGUGCCCAAGCACGGCGCCUGGCACUGUGGGACUAUUUUUGGAGGAAUGUUGAAUUAAACAAUAGAUGUGUAAGA